CUUGACAUGUCAAGAAUUCUGCAGAGAUGUGGAAGUGCUCGAAAGAGAACUUGAACACAGGUGCUGCAUGGCCGUCGUCAGCUCGUGUCGUGAGAUGUUGGGUUAAGUCCCGCAACGAGCGCAACCCUUGUCAUUAGUUGCUACGCAAGAGCACUCUAAUGAGACUGCCGGUGACAAACCGGAGGAAGGUGGGGAUGACGUCAGGUCCUCAUGGCCCUUAUGGGUAGGGCUACACACGCCAUACAAUGGCCGGUACAGAGGGCUGCCAACCCGCGAGGGGGAGCCAAUCCCAGAAAACCGGUCGUAGUCCGGAUCGUAGUCUGCAACUCGACUGCGUGAAGUCGGAAUCGCUAGUAAUCGCGGAUCAGCUUGCCGCGGUGAAUACGUUCCCGGGUCUUGUACACACCGCCCGUCACACCAUGGGA
rnacentral:rRNA from 1 species